GAUGAACGCUGGCGGCGUGCCUAAUACAUGCAAGUCGAGCGAACGGACGAGAAGCUUGCUUUUCUGAUGUUAGCGGCGGACGGGUGAGUAACACGUGGAUAACCUACCUAUAAGACUGGGAUAACUUCGGGAAACCGGAGCUAAUACCGGAUAAUAUUUUGAACCGCAUGGUUCAAAAGUGAAAGAAGGUCUUGCUGUCACUUAUAGAUGGAUCCGCGCUGCAUUAGCUAGUUGGUAAGGUAACGGCUUACCAAGGCAACGAUGCAUAGCCGACCUGAGAGGGUGAUCGGCCACACUGGAACUGAGACACGGUCCAGACUCCUACGGGAGGCAGCAGUAGGGAAUCUUCCGCGAUGGGCGAAAGCCUGACGGAGCAACGCCGCGUGAGUGAUGAAGGUCUUCGGAUCGUAAAACUCUGUUAUUAGGGAAGAACAUAUGUGUAAGUAACUGUGCACAUCUUGACGGUACCUAAUCAGAAAGCCACGGCUAACUACGUG
rnacentral:rRNA from 1 species